rnacentral:rRNA from 1 species
UACAGAGGUCCCAAGCGUUGUUCGGAUUCAUUGGGCGUAAAGGGUGUGUAGGUGGCGCCGUAAGUCGGGUGUGAAAUCUCGGGGCUUAACUCCGAAACUGCAUUCGAUACUGCGGUGCUUGAGGACUGGAGAGGAGACUGGAAUUACGGUGUAGCGGUGAAAUGCGUAGAUAUCGUGAAGGAAGACCAGUGGCGAAGGCGGGUCUCUGGACAGUUCCUGACGCUGAGGCACGAAGGCCAGGGGAGCAAACGGG